AGUGAACGCUGGCGGUAGGCCUAGCACAUGCAAGUCGAACGGCAGCACAGUAAGAGCUUGCUCUUACGGGUGGCGAGUGGCGGACGGGUGAGGAAUACAUCGGAAUCUACUUUUUCGUGGGGGAUAACGUAGGGAAACUUACGCUAAUACCGCAUACGACCUACGGGUGAAAGCAGGGGAUCUUCGGACCUUGCGCGAUUGAAUGAGCCGAUGUCGGAUUAGCUAGUUGGCGGGGUAAAGGCCCACCAAGGCGACGAUCCGUAGCUGGUCUGAGAGGAUGAUCAGCCACACUGGAACUGAGACACGGUCCAGACUCCUACGGGAGGCAGCAGUGGGGAAUAUUGGACAAUGGGCGCAAGCCUGAUCCAGCCAUACCGCGUGGGUGAGGAAGGCCUUCGGGUUGUAAAGCCCUUUUGUUGGGAAAGAAAAGCAGCAGGUUAAUACCCCGCUGUUCUGACGGUACCCAAAGAAUAAGCACCGGCUAACUUCGUG
rnacentral:rRNA from 1 species